rnacentral:rRNA from 1 species
UACGUAGGGUGCAAGCGUUGUCCGGAAUUAUUGGGCGUAAAGAGCUCGUAGGCGGUUUGUCGCGUCUGCUGUGAAAACUGGGGGCUCAACCCCCAGCCUGCAGUGGGUACGGGCAGACUAGAGUGCGGUAGGGGAGAUUGGAAUUCCUGGUGUAGCGGUGGAAUGCGCAGAUAUCAGGAGGAACACCGAUGGCGAAGGCAGAUCUCUGGGCCGUGAACUGACGCUGAGGAGCGAAAGCAUGGGGAGCGAACAGG